rnacentral:snRNA from 1 species
AUCGUGUCUUGGCCUUUUGGCUAAGAUCAAGUGU